AACUUAGUAAAACUACAUUUUUCGAAGAUAUGUUAAUUUGUGUAAUUAAAGGUUAAAAACUAUGUAAGACCUCUUUGUGUCAUUCCAUCAAACAGAUAGUGUACAAUUUCAAUGGAAAUAAUAGAAUCUAACCUUAAAAAUCCAGCAAACUUCCUCCAACCUUCUCUAGAAUGAAUACUAAUAUAUAGAAAAUAAACACAACAAAACUCCAUAAUUACACAAGAAAUCAGAGAAAACCCCAAUAAAUAGUCUAAUCAAGGAAAAACCCAACAGAAUCAUCAAUCCCAUUUCAACAAGAAGACAAUAUCAUCAAUAAAUAGUCUAAUCAUAUAAGUGACGAAUCAGAAGAAAUUAGCAUAGAUGAACAAAAACCCACUUAAACACGUCAAUCAAACUCUUCUUCAAUUCAUUGCCCAACACAAUUCAUGAACAAUUUCUCAAGAAAAUUGAGAUGAAAUCACCUCAAAAAGGGAGAGAGAAGGCGUUGUGGGUGCUUUCUCAGUGAGGGCUGAGCUUGUUUUCUUGUACAAUGACGGCUGAGCUUGUCUUCUACAAUGGGUUUCUCCCAAAUUAAUUCAAGGGCAAGAGCAGAUAAAACCUCUCUCUUGCAAAGGUAAAAAGCUUUGUACACCGGAGAUGUUUAGAUUGAGAGGGCUAGAAGGUGGAAAUAAUAUCAUCUCAUCUAUAUACUCGUAUAUAUAUUUUUCUUUCUUAAAACUAAUGAACCACAUUCGGAUAAAUUAGUUUUUAUAACAAAU
rnacentral:lncRNA from 1 species